rnacentral:tRNA from 1 species
GAUUGCUUAGUUUAAAGAAAACAAAUGUUUUGAAAGCAUUAGAUAAGAUAAGUUCUUAGCAAUCU